rnacentral:rRNA from 1 species
UACGUAGGGGGCAAGCGUUGUCCGGAAUUAUUGGGCGUAAAGAGCUCGUAGGCGGUCUGUCGCGUCGGCUGUGAAAUCCCGAGGCUCAACCUCGGGUCUGCAGUCGAUACGGGCAAACUAGAGUAUUGCAGGGGAGACUGGAAUUCCUGGUGUAGCGGUGAAAUGCGCAGAUAUCAGGAGGAACACCGGUGGCGAAGGCGGGUCUCUGGGCAAUAACUGACGCUGAGGGGCGAAAGCGUGGGGAGCGAACAGG